GAUGAACGCUGGCGGCGUGCCUAAUACAUGCAAGUCGAGCGAACAGACGAGGAGCUUGCUCCUCUGACGUUAGCGGCGGACGGGUGAGUAACACGUGGAUAACCUCCCUAUAAGACUGGGAUAACUUCGGGAAACCGGAGCUAAUACCGGAUAAUAUAUUGAACCGCAUGGUUCAAUAGUGAAAGACGGUUUUGCUGUCACUUAUAGAUGGAUCCGCGCCGCAUUAGCUAGUUGGUAAGGUAACGGCUUACCAAGGCAACGAUGCGUAGCCGACCUGAGAGAGUGAUAGGCCACACUGGAACUGAGACACGGUCCAGACUCCUAAGGGAGGCAGCAGUAGGGAAUCUUACGCAAUGGGCGAAAGCCUGACGGAGCAACGCCGCGUGAGUGAUGAAGGUCUUCGGAUCGUAAAACUCUGUUAUUAGGGAAGAACAAAUGUGUAAGUAACUAUGCACGUCUUGACGGUACCUAAUCAGAAAGCCACGGCUAACUACGUG
rnacentral:rRNA from 1 species